rnacentral:lncRNA from 10 species
AGGGAUGAUGGUGGCCUGGAGACCCUUGAGGGGCAGAAACAGUGGCUUACUCCUGUGCUUCUGUGGUCUGUUUCCUCACUUUGCCCCAUCCAUCAAGUGUUGAGGCUCGGUGGAGUUGAGCUUCCUUUUCCCUCCAUCACUCACAUCCCACUUCCCAUCACCUGCUUCCAAGCAAGAGAACUCCAGGUUACUGGCCUCCGGCAGCAGUCCAGCUGUUACCAGUAAACUGGAAGCUGACGUCACUAACAAGCAUUCAGGGAGCACCAAGAAGCAGACCAGAGGUCUCCUAAGCUUGACUCCUCUUCGGCAUGAGACUAAGGAAGCUCCCCAAGUUCCAGUCAGAGGUCUGAAUUUGUGAAUUUGCUGAGGCUGAUAGGACAGUGUGGGCUGUCCCUGAAAGUUGGAGGAGGUGACAACAAGGUUGGGGGCCUUCCAUAUGGGUGCCUGCUGUACCACAUAUCCAGUAAAAACAGAACAUUUACGAAUGCUGGAAAAAGGUCUCGUUUGUAAUGAGCAGUGGAGUGUGACAGCCUCUGACUGUUUCUUUGACCAUAUAUAGGAAUGAUCACCGUGAUAAUAACAGCAGUGACAACAAUCCCCGGAUAUUGGGCUUUUCAUUUCCAAGAGAGAAAUAGGAAGCACAUGCAUUUGGCCAGGAAGAAGACUUCAGCUAUUGAUGGGAGGGCCCUCUUUCUAGAAGGCAGAGAACAAUGGACUAGCCAGACAGGAAGGAGAGAGGCCCAGAGCGCAGUAAGGAGUGGGCAUCUGGGACCCAGGGUUGGGAAGAACACUUCUGUUUGGCUUCCUUCCUCUUCUAGGGCAUGGCUAAGGUGGCCAACCUGCAUGCACCCCAGAAGAGGAAGAUAAGUAGGCCCAUGGGACUUUAUUAUGGAGCCUGAGGCUUUCACUGGCCUGAUUAAUCCAUUUUCUGGGAAUGAGCACUUUGGGAGGAUAACAAUCAAAGGAUCCCCAGAGGACACGUGACAGGCUGGGGCCAUCAGAACUACUGAUCCGUGGGUACUAUCCGGCUUACUGAAUUAUGAAACACAGGUUAAAUUAAGGGUUGUCACACAUUUGGCUAAUUGGCCAAUAAGAACAGCAAUUAAUAGAGGUCAGGCAAUUCAACUGCAUCUGUGGCCAUGACUAUCAGAGCCCUUGGAAACAGCAGUGAUUUCAAGUGAAAUCUAAAUCAGCAGUGUUUCAGGUGACCUAGAGCAGGGCCCACGGCCCAUAGCCCAUAUGUUAGCACUUCCUGAAGGUUUUCUUCCACCCAAAUCCACAUGUUGGGACCCAGGGGAAGGUGUAGCAAAGCCAGUGACCACUGUGUAAUCUUUGUUUUUUCUAUUUGACACUUUGUCAAAAAACACAUUCCUGUUUUCAUAGACUUCUUUUGAUUUUGAGAAAUUUAAAAGAUACAGAAAAGUAUGAAGAAUGUAAAGACACUAUAUUCCCACCACUAGACAUAAGAACUAGUAAUAUUUUGUACCAUCUCCUGCUAGCCUCUGCCCUCCUUCUAAGAAAUGAAACUACCACCCAUUUCUCAUUCCCCAUCCCCGGGCACAGCAAUGUUCAUGGGUUUGGUCGGUUUGUAUGUUUGGUAUCAUUUUAGAUACUUUGAUAUUCAUCUUAUAUCGAUAUAACAAAUAUACUACACUUUUAUGUGUAUAUGAAUAUUUAAAUAUAUAACAGAUAAAAACACAUGCCAUUUGUAAAUAUGCCAUGUAAAAACUGAUGGUGCUUAAUAAAUAUUUGUUGAAUGUCCAUCUAUAAACAAUGUAUUUGUGUGUUUUUAAUGUACAUGGUAUCAUACAAUUUUUAUCAUUCUGCAUAAUCC